CAAAUUUUCACUCCCCUGAUGGAUAGCAGUGCAUAUAAAUCUGAAGUCGUCACAAUAGUAUAUUGAAACCAGUUAUCUGACACUAAACAGUUCCAUGGGUAAAAACUAACACAAAUUAUAAGGUAUCUUAACCUUAUCCUUCAAUAGGGAGGAGUAUAAAAUAAAGUUAACAGACCAUUUUCAAACCAAAUAUUAAAGCACAGUUAUUGAUCAAACCUGUCUACAUUCUCAAUACAAUGGGGUCAUUGGAAGAACAU
rnacentral:misc_RNA from 1 species